rnacentral:misc_RNA from 1 species
AAUUUGAGUUUCAUUACAGAAAUGUAUACCAAAUUUUCAGUGGAAACAAUAGAUCACCAUCAUAAGAAACACAAAGUGAAUGGACAAGCCAUAUUAAGCAUCAGGGGAAAUGCAUGCACAGGAAAAAGAACACUUCUUCAGUUGUUCGACACACAGCCUGCAAUGUGCUUGACACAAUCCAUCCUCUACUUCAUGAAUUGGGAAGAGGAAAUGCUACUUGUUUUUCUUGAGGAGACUUGAUGUUCUAAACUCAGCAUCAUCCCUGACAAAGCUCCACCAAAGGUACGCAAGUGGGAUGGUACUUGCAUGCCAAAGAGCGUGUGCAUCAACAAAUCCGUGAUAUGGUGGGAAGUCGUAUAUUUCCAAGAGCAUGGCAAGACCUCCACCCACAACCACCACCCACAACUUCCACUGGGAUGGAUGUCGAGUGAAACCUGCCCAAACUGCCCAAAUGAGUAGCUGAGCUACACCCAUGGCUCCACAAACUUUCAUGUUCAGGCCAUAAUCAAGAUUAUAGAAGUUCAGAUACAUGAUAUGCGUCGUAAGAAAUGCAAUCAAAGGAGCCGCAACCAUGAUCCUUGCAGCCUCAUCUCUCAC